AUUAUUAUUCCUUGACACGUCUAGAAAGACUUUAAAAAAAAUAGUCACAGUGUACAUUAAAUCAGUUCAAUGAGAAUCAAGUAAAAUUUAUCCCAAUUUGUUUUUCAGCCACUUAUCUAUUCAAAACGAAAGCCAUUUAGGGAGAAAUUCAGUUGCGCAAUUUCUUUCUUGGAUGAUUGGAGAAUCAUCUGAAUCCCCAGAUCACAAAGGAAAAUCUGUAGGGUUUCUCAAUUCUCUAACGAUUUUUAGAUCACGCAUCGAUGGGAGAAGUAAGGAACAGUGAAGAUUGUAGGGACAGGCUGAGCGAGUUGCCUGAUUGUGUUCUGCUUCAUAUAAUGAAAUUUUUGGACACAAAACAUGCGGUUCGAACAAAUGUGUUGUCUAAACAAUGGAACAACGUUUGGAAAUGUCUCACUAGUUUGUCUUUCAGGCACAGCCACUUUAACACGGUCACCAAUUACAACAAAUUUGUGUCUUGGGUUCUGUCUAAUCGAGAUGGUUCCAUUUCCCUACAUGAUCUGAGUUUUAUGGCCAGUGGUUCCACUGCGCCCAAACUCAUGACCAAUGUCAUGGAACAUGUCAUGUUGCAUAACAUCCUGCAUUUAACAAUCUAUAUACAUUUAAACAAUUCCAGAGUAAUUGAGCACUACUCUGUCCCUUCUGUUUUCUCAUGUCCCUCUUUGACAUUUCUUAGGCUUUGCAUUAAUUCUUAUGACCAUGCUUUGGAACUCCCAAAAUCUCUGCAUCUGCCAGCAUUAAAAACAUUGUAUCUCACCAAUGUCAAUUUCACUGCACAAGACAAUGAUUGCGCUGAGCCCUUUUCAACAUGUAACAUGUUGAGUAGGUUGGUCCUCAAGGGUUGUUCUUUGGGCAAUGAUGCAAAAGUCCUCUGCAUAUCUAAUUCUAGCCUUUCCAGUUUGAAGCUGAAAAUCUUUGGAGAAGAAAAGUACGAAAUCGCGCUUUCUACUCCAAAUCUUACAUCUCUCACUGUCACAAGUUGUUUGAGUAGUCACAGACUCUCCUUCAUGUGCAAUCUUUCAUUUCUUGAAGAAGUGAAAAUUGACAUCAGUUUUGGUAUGUAUUACUCGGUCAUUGUGAGUUGGCUGCAGCUGCUCACUAAUGUGAAGAUAUUGACUCUCUCUUCAUAUAUCCUUCAGAUGAUGUUGAAAAUUCUAUCAAAUCUUGCUACAAUGAAAAAUCAACCUCCUUGCUUUGCUAGACUGGAGACACUGAAGGUGAAAAUAGAACCUGGCAGAAAAAUAGACGAGGAAGAGUUAAACAGGAUAGUAGAGUACUUAAGACCUGUUUGGGUAAACUUCUCCAGAAGCACUUCUCGGAAAAAAAAAAUGAAAGAAAAAUGAAAUAAAUUUUUCAUAAACUAAAAUUAGUUUGUGUAUAAACUAAUUUGUAGAACCUCUCUUCUAUUAGCUUCUCUAAAAUUUUAUAUAACUUAUGCAUAAGUUAGCUUAUUUCACUUUUUUCCUAAUUUUUUCUUAGAAGUGUUUCUGAAAUAGUUUACCCAAACAAAUUCUUAUUGCAAAACUCUCAACUGAUCAGAGUCAAUGUUAAUUGAAACUAUAUCCGUAUUCCAUGCUUAACUAUUUAGGUUUGGCAUGUCUAAAAUGAAAGGAACAUUGGGGAAUUUGAAGUUGAAGACAGGGAUGCAAUGUGACCAAGAUAGACUAAGGACAAGAAUUGGAUCGAUGACACCCGAUUUUGUUUUGCUCCACGUAAUGGAAUUUAUUAACAUGUUUUUCAAAUUUAUCUUGUUUACUAGAUGGAAGGAAUUUUGGAAAUGUCUCAUUAAUCUUGUAUUGAAUUUUUUAUUUAUGUGUUAUAAACUUAACCCAUUUCGGCAUA